CGGAUUCACUGGCUAAAGCAAGUCACAUGGCCAAACCUGAUUUGGUGGGGAGGGGAGGUGUACCCAGCACUGGAGGCCCUGCACGUCGUGUAGCAAUGGGGCAGGAUGAAUAGUCCUCUCACUGGGAGGACAGUGAAUAACUGGAAACAGUGACCAAUCUGCUACCAUGCACCAUCUUGGUUGCAAUUAUCACUCCUGUCUCUUGCGUGGGCAUGGUGGAUUGGAGGCGGCUGCGGAUUCUUAGUCAUUCCUCCCAGAAAGACAUGGAGUAUUUUUCUCCUCCCCUUGGAUCUGGGCUGAUUCCAGGACUGGCUUUCAUCAACAGGAUGUAGCAGAAGCGACGCUGUGUGAGUUCCCAGGCUGAGGCUGCAGAGAUUUGAGGCAUCUUCUCUCACCCAGCUUGAAGUCCUUCCCCUUGGAAGCCAGUCACCGUGAAAAAACUCACCAUGCUGUGAGGAAGCCCAAGAGAGCUGCAUGGAGAGAAGGGCCUGUGGAAGAGCUCUGAGGUGCCACUCACAUGAAGUGAGCCUUUGUGGACCUUCCAGCCCAGCCACCAGCAAACACAACCCAGCAAGAGGCCUGGGGAGCCUGCUCACCCCUUCCACCACGUGAGGACAAGGCUAUAAGGCAUCUAUGAGGAAACGGCCCUCAUCAGACACCGAAUCUGCAGGCACAUUCAUCUUGGAUUUCCCAGCCUCCAGAACUGUGAACAAUAAAU
rnacentral:lncRNA from 10 species